GGUCCCUUAGCUCAGCUGGAUAGAGCACAUGCCUUCUAAGCAUGCGGUCGACAGUUCGAUUCUGCCAGGGAUCA
rfam:Treponema porcinum strain ATCC BAA-908 genome assembly, contig: EI69DRAFT_scaffold00006.6